CGCCAGACUCCUACGGGAGGCAGCAGUAGGGAAUUUUGCGCAAUGGGCGAAAGCCUGACGCAGCAACGCCGCGUGAUUGAUUAAGCCCUUCGGGGUGUAAAGAUCUGUCAGUGGGGACGAAACUUGGCGGUACCCACAGAGGAAGCACCGGCUAACUCCGUGCCAGCAGCCGCGGUAAUACGGAGGGUGCAAGCGUUGUCCGGAAUCAUUGGGCGUAAAGAGUUCGUAGGUGGCAUAUUAAGUCUGGUGUUAAAUGCAGAAGCUCAACUUCUGUUCGGCACUGGAUACUGGUAAGCUUGAAUGCGGUAGAGGUAAAGGGAAUUCCUGGUGUAGCGGUGAAAUGCGUAGAUAUCAGGAGGAACACCAGUGGCGAAGGCGGCUUACUGGACUGUAACUGACGUUGAGGCUCGAAAGCGUGGGGAGCAAACAGGAUUAGAUACCCUCGUAC
rnacentral:rRNA from 1 species